rnacentral:snRNA from 1 species
AGCUUUGCGCAGUGGCAGUAUCGUAGCCAAUGAGGUUUAUCUGAGGCGCGAUUAUUGCUAAUUGAAAAAUUUAGGUGUCUGAAUUGUAC